UUUCUGUAACAUGCUUUGCUUCCUGGUGGGUUGUUGUGGUGCGUUUGCUGGUGUGGCCUUUGCAGAAGGGUGGGUAAAGCGGUGGUGGGUAAUCAGGGCAAGUUCUAGAUGGUUUUCAUCUCCUCUUCCUACAGGUUCUGCGCACGGGAUGUGGCAAAUUCCAGGUGGUGCGGCCGGAGGGGCUUGCGGCGGCCGGCAUCAAGCAGGGGAUGGGGAGAUGCGUGCUGCGACUUGGCGUCCAGAGGCUCUACAGGCGGCCGAUGAUCUAUGGGGUGGGGCGGUGGAGCCGGGCAGUCGAGCCGGAGGUACGCGGCAGCAGGCGGUUCUGCUUGGGCGACGAGGUAGAUGCGGCGGAGAACGGCGGCCGGAAUAGGCUGCUGGCGAGGUGCAGCCGGUGUGGUCGCCGAUGUCUGCGUCCAGCUGCCGCCGCCGCGGGGGCAGAGGGGAGUAGCGGCGCUGGAGGAGAGCAGCAGGGGAGGAGCGGUGCCGGUGUGGUCGCUGGCGUUUGCGUCGAGCUGCGGCCGCCGCGGGGGCAGAGGGGAGUAGCGGCGCUGGAGGAGAGCAGCAGGGGAGGAGCGGUGCUGGCGAGGUGGAGAACGGCGGUUGACAUCAAGGUCGGCCGGGAUACGCUGCUGCCUGCUGGUGAGGUGCAGCCGGUGUGGUCGCAGAUGCCCGCGUCGAGCCGUGGCUGCCGCGGAGGCAGAUGGGAGUUGUGGCGCCGGACGGGAGCAGCAGUGGAGGAGCGCCGCCGCCGACGAGGCAGCGAGCUCCGGUAGAGCAUACUCUGCAUCGCCGGCUGAUGGAGGUGAGACGUCGCGAGGAUUGAGGACUCAGAACAUCGAGCGGCGGUCGUCGGGGUGGACGGCAGUGGGAACAUGGAGGGUGUGGUGUGGUGGCGCUCUGCUUGGUCGCCCGCGCUGGACAAGGACUGUGUAGGUGGCGGAGAUACCGGACCCAGAGGACGAUGAAGCCAUGUACGCCAUCUUCAGCCCGCAGGUUGGCCUCAACGACAGUGGGGAUUGUAAGACACAACAACCAAGGAUCCUGCAGGUGAUUCCAUAUGGAGAUUUUGUACUGAUAUGAAGUUUGUAACUAGAUAAGGUUGUAGAAUUUAUUCUAAAAGUGAGUAUUUCAAUAUCGUCCACCUCAAUCUAGGCUGAGAAGAUAUCAGUUUUAUGGUAUUCUUCCUCCAAGGUAAUUUUGUCACCAUUACGAACCAUCCAUUGUCCCUAUUGUGUUUGAAACACUUUAUGAUAUUUGUGUGAGUUGUUGUAAUGUCUACAUAUUUGCAAAUGACUAGCCAAUUUGAUCAGCAGUUCAGACUUAGGGUGCUUAUUGCAUUCAAAGGAUUUUUGAGGAAAGGCUAUCUCUGCAGGGAUGCAUAUAAUAGCCCUAGGCGUCAGCAGCCAAAUGCAGCAACACAACGAAGGUACCAUAACAUUUGUUUUUCCAAUCUGCAGCCAUAUAUUUCAGACUCUUUCAUUCUGGUUAGAAAAUAAUAAUGUAUUGAGGGAUUUAGAAUAUUGAUCAAGUAGUACCAUGUUGAGAAGAUAAAUGGAUGGAUGGCAUUGAUCCUUGGUUGGAUGAGAUGACUCGACUGCCUGCAUGUAGCUUUGAGAAUGGAAGUUCAGGUGUGUUCACAGACGAGAAGUUAACAGUAUGACAGGAAGAAGCACCGAACAUCUUUGCAAUGACUAGAAAAAACAUGGAUGUUGAGUGUGUAGAAUGGGUUUACAAAGCUGCUGUCUAUUUGCUGAGAUUUUGGAAGUAAAUGAUUCCUCGAUGAACGCUGAGAAUAGGAUGGAAGAUAAGAAUCUGCACAUAAUUUUCGCAACCCUGUGGCUUUGAUUGUUUGCCCUUCUUGGAUCCAGGCGGCUCUGGAGUUCGGACUCUCAAUAUCACGGUCCACUUUACUACAUCGUAUCUGAUCAAGCUUCUCAGGUAGUGCCACCUUCUUCCUUUUCCAUCUUUUUUUAUCGCUUUUUAAUAUUUCCCGUUUCCAUCUUUUUUCCCCAUGUGAAGAACCAUCUUGCGCUGAUGCUGCUGGGCAACCUGACCAGUCAGAUGCACCACUGCCUCCUUCAUCGUCUCCCUUUCUCAGUUUCCCAUGCCAUUGCUGUGGUCAACAAAGAUCCCCUAUGUUUAACUUUUCUCUCUUAUUUGAUUUGGUGAUUCGUUAACUGAAGUUUCAUCUUCUCUUCUUAACCUUUAACAUGCUUUAAGAGACACGCUGUAACAAUUUCGAGCAUCUUGUGUAUCAAAAUUGUGGUGACAACAUAUAAUGACUACCUACUAAUUAAUAUUGACCUAUUUGAGCACAACCUUCUGCACAUUGUUUUUUCUUAUCAUGUCACGGAUUAUUUUUGAAAGAACAUGGCUGAGAGAUACAUUUUUUGCAGGUUAAGAAAAAUGCAGAUUGGAGGUUGACACCACUUGCUCAUAAAAUUAUCAAAUUCAGUGACUUGAAACCUCUUUGAUUUCCUUCGAAUUGCAGUUUUUUUUCAUUCACACCAUUCCCUGUUAAACACUGUCAUCAACUACUUAAUCUGUAAGUAAUAAAGAAAUAUUUCUCUCUUUUUUGGUCAAAAAGAGAUACUCAGUAUACGAUUGUCUGUUUUGAUUAGCUACAUAAAGGACUACUGUUUGACAAUCAGUACGGGGUAAAAAUAUUUUCCGUCUUUCCGGGUGAAACAAAAUUGAAAUCCAUUUAGUAGUACUUUUUUGGUGCCAUGCAACCUUGCCAUAGUGUAGGGUUCUCGCAGCAUCGCAUUACAAAGGAAGGUAAAAUUGAACUCACUAACUAAAAGUACCUUUGAUAUCAUCGCUACCUUAGUUUGCUGCAUGAUCCUAAAAAUAUAACUUAUUGUGGUUAGGUACUUUUAACAUAUUGUGGUUACAUUCCACUGGCCAAUAAUGUCUCCUUGGGCAGUAACGGAGCCAGGGUCCAAGCAAUGGGUGUACAGAGUUCCUAAAAUCUUAUUUUUACUCAUUUUUCUUACUUAUUUAGUGUAUAUUUUUAGUUAUUAAAGCCUUUUGCAAAAAUUAUUGGGUGUACAUUUGUACACCCAUAUCCCCACGUAGCUCUGCCCAAGUCCUUGGGGCAGGCUUACAUAACAAUUGAAUCAGCCAACUGGUGAAUUUGUAUUAGCAUAUUUACUAUCUAAGCUGUUCACCACAAUAUUACUAUAAAGCUAAUGAGUUGUAGUUUGCAUUUUGAGCCUGCGAGGGGUUAUAGCAUGUUGGUCCUCUUGAGAAGCCUCGAGAUAUGCAUAGAAAUUCUCAUAUAUUACAUUCUAUUCCAAAUAAAGAUUCCAUAAAAAAUUUAACCUCUGAAACUGGUUCAUUUUAUUAAUAUAGUUUGUAAGGAAACUUAAUGUUAUUUCUCAUACAUGAUAGAUUAUUUAUUUUAGUUCCAUUCAUCCCUCGAAAUAUGUUGAUCAAGGAACAAGAUGUAUAAAUGAUCCAUUUGUGUAUACAUGCAUCGCCAUUCCAUAUGCUAUUGCAGAGUUCCUGAGGCAUAUGGUGUACCAGGGGCAGCACCAUCUCAGUAUUGUCAUUGUAGAGAAGGCACAAUCUCUCUUUUUUUUUGAGAAAAGGAGAAGGCACAAUCUCCAUGGAAUAAUAAGGAGGUAUAGAGAUGACAGUGCACUUACUAUGCCAGUGUUGUUUGCCAAUGAUGCUAUCCGAAAGUUCUACACCCUAAACCCGAUUCAUAUACAUGGCAGAUCUGGAGCAUGUUUUAAUAUAUUGAAUCAAACAUUCAUGUCCGGAUUCAAGUUAACCUGCUAAAUGACAAAGCAUGGAUUAUCCUGUUUUUUCAUUAUAUGAGAUGAUAUCUAUCUGAAUGGAAGAUUGGAUUCAUGAGUGGGAGUUAUAGCUUAUUUAGUGGACACCUGAAUAUGGUUCAGUGGGGUGUGUGUUCAGUGAAAUGGUUCAGCUACAAAUAAGUGGUUUCCCAUGUAAGCUAAGUUCAGCGCAUGUGAUUCAGUACAUACUUAGACCUUUUAGAUCAGUUAAAUCACAUGAAGGUUUCCAGCUGCCCGUUCCUUCAUAUAUCAACAUAACAUAGUUCAAGUUGUUGGGCACUUUGGUUAGUCAUUGCAUUGAAGUUCUUACCCAUGUACUGGGUUGCUGAACGCUUUGUUUGCCCGUUGUACUGAUAGGUUCUUAUCUGCCAUGUACUAGCUGGAUUUUACGCUUUGUUUGAGGAAAAUAUUUUGCUGGACCCAGACACAUUGUAAAAUAUUAUCCACCUACUUGUAUCUAUGUAUAAUUAUGACAAGUGCCUUGCUUAGUUCA